AGAGUUUGAUCCUGGCUCAGAUUGAACGCUGGCGGCAGGCCUAACACAUGCAAGUCGAGCGGUAGCACAAGAGAGCCUGCUCUCUGGGUGACGAGCGGCGGACGGGUGAGUAAUGUCUGGGAAACUGCCUGAUGGCGGGGGAUAACUAGUGGAAACGGUAGCUAAUACCGCAUAACGUCGCAAGACCAAAGUGGGGGACCUUCGGGCCUCACGCCAUCAGAUGUGCCCAGGUAGGAUUAGCUGGUAGGUGGGGUAACGGCUCACCUAGGCGACGAUCCCUAGCUGGUCUGAGAGGAUGACCAGCCACACUGGAACUGAGACACGGUCCAGACUCCUACGGGAGGCAGCAGUGGGGAAUAUUGCACAAUGGGCGCAAGCCUGAUGCAGCCAUGCCGCGUGUGUGAAGAAGGCCUUCGGGUUGUAAAGCACUUUCAGCGAGGAGAAAGGGUAAUGUGUUAAUAAGACAUUGCAUUGACGUUACUCGCAGAAGAAGCACCGGCUAACUCCGUGCCAGCAGCCGCGGUAAUACGGAGGGUGCAAGCGUUAAUCGGAAUUACUGGGCGUAAAGCGCACGCAGGCGGUUUGUUAAGUCAGAUGUGAAAUCCCCGCGCUCAACGUGGGAACGGCAUUUGAGACUGGCAAGCUAGAGUCUUGUAGAGGGGGGUAGAAUUCCAGGUGUAGCGGUGAAAUGCGUAGAGAUCUGGAGGA
rnacentral:rRNA from 1 species